UAGGUUUGUGUGCCAGCAGCCGCGGUAAUACGGAGGAUCCGAGCGUUAUCCGGAUUUAUUGGGUUUAAAGGGAGCGUAGAUGGAUGUUUAAGUCAGUUGUGAAAGUUUGCGGCUCAACCGUAAAAUUGCAGUUGAUACUGGAUGUCUUGAGUGCAGUUGAGGCAGGCGGAAUUCGUGGUGUAGCGGUGAAAUGCUUAGAUAUCACGAAGAACUCCGAUUGCGAAGGCAGCCUGCUAAGCUGCAACUGACAUUGAGGCUCGAAAGUGUGGGUAUCAAACAGG
rnacentral:rRNA from 1 species